rnacentral:tRNA from 1 species
GGAGAGAUGGCUCAGUGGGUAAGUGUAUUGGAUGUUCUUCCAGAGGACCUGGGUUUGAUUCCCAGCUCACCA